rnacentral:rRNA from 1 species
GAUGAACGCUGGCGGCGUGCCUAAUACAUGCAAGUCGAGCGAACAGACGAGGAGCUUGCUCCUCUGACGUUAGCGGCGGACGGGUGAGUAACACGUGGAUAACCUACCUAUAAGACUGGGAUAACUUCGGGAAACCGGCGCUAAUACCGGAUAAUAUAUUGAACCGCAUGGUUCAAUAGUGAAAGACGGUUUUGCUGUCACUUAUAGAUGGAUCCGCGCCGCAUUAGCUAGUUGGUAAGGUAACGGCUUACCAAGGCAACGAUGCGUAGCCGACCUGAGAGGGUGAUCGGCCACACUGGAACUGAGACACGGUCCAGACGCCUACGGGAGGCAGCAGUAGGGAAUCGUCCGCAAUGGGCGAAAGCUUGACGGAGCAACGCCGCGUGAGUGAUGAAGGUCUUCGGAGCGUAAAACUCUGUUAUGAGGGAAGAACAAAUGUGUAAGUAACUAUGCACGUCUUGACGGUACCUAAUCAGAAAGCCACGGCUAACUACGUG